CGGCCCGGAAGAGAGGAGGGGCGAUGACCCGGGAAAGGGUUGGCGCCGCGCGGGACCGGCUCGCGCGCCUUAGGGGGCGGGGGCGGAGGAGCCGGGGGGGGCGGGGCUUCGCCUAGAGCCGGACCCUGAGACCCGAGCCGCGCGACGCGCUGACAGACCCUCUGGUCCGACGGCGAGGCUCGCAGCACCUCAUGCUUCCAUCCUGCGUUGAGAUCACGGCAGGACCACAUAAUGACUUUCAGGAGACCUAGGGAUUUUUGCCUUGAUGGGCCCCUUUCUCCACUAAAAAAAGGAAGAAAAAUUACAAUUGCACUUAUAAAAGAGGCUUUUCUAUUGCUCGGCCAAAACUCUUUCUCUAAAGAGCUAGACUCGACAAUAGGACCACCUGGAUACAGCCAAGGAGAAGAAGAGCCACCAGUACUAUGGCUGAGCAGAAAAAUAUCCCAGAGAGGUUGUCAUAGGAACUGUACCAGAGGAGCAGCUAUACACAUGAUAGAAUGUACUAUCCAAAGAAGAGAGGAAGGAACUGAUCUUGAAUCUACUCUUACCAUCAGUUUUAGGGAACAAAUCUUUCAUGAAUCUCCUCAUGGAAAUUGUCCUCAGUGACAGCAGGGGUAGGUGAGAUACUACAAGGCUAUGGGGCUGAUGAUAUAUGUACCUCAAAGGAUUUUUGUAGGAGAUUAAAAUAGAUAAAAUAUGUUAAAUAUCUACUAUAUGUAGUCCUUGAAAAACAGUAAUAAAUAACAGUAAUCUUUACUGUCUUAUGUAAUC
rnacentral:lncRNA from 1 species